GACAGAACGAGGGUAACAGAUACUGUGCAGCAGAGCCUUCCCUGACACAGUUACAGCAGCCUGAAGGCGACGGUCAGGACAACUUUGUAAGAAGACCUGCAAGUUUAGCACCUCUGGGAGACAUGAAAGUGCUAGACAGGCUUCUCACAAACAGGAAGACCCGCAGUUUGGUGGCGCACGAAACACUCCGGACCCCUGCAGCAGUGCACUUUGUCUUGCUUGUUUACAGCAUAACAGCCACAGUCGACAGCACUUUUUCUCAAGGAAGCGUGGUUUUUGCUGAGCUGCAUGGGUUUGCGAUGUUGACCGCAGACUAUCCUGCAGAGGAAAGCAACCCUAUCCGUGAAAUGGAGUGGAAGAAGAAAAUCAAAGAAAGCACAGAUAAACUCCUCUUGAUGCAUAAAAUGCCAGAUGAAACAAAAAAUUUUGGCUGCGACAACAGAUGCAGUUUCACGAAUCAAACCCUGAUCCUGCAUAACGUAACGGAGGAAGACGAGGGUGUCUAUGAAAUAUCUCUGCUUCUGGCAAAUUCAUCCAUGAUAAUCAAAAAUAUAACGUUAAUAACAUAUCUCCCGCCACAUAUCAGCAUCUCCUCUGAUAACUCCACUGACUCGGGGCUCAAAUUCAGGUGUCAGCUCGGGCCGGGUGCGCUGCGGUCCUACACGUGGCUCAAGGACGGCCAGGCCCUCCCGCAGGACGGGAGACACUCGCUGAGCGAGGGCAACGCGACCUUACUGGUGAGGAACCUGAGCAGCGAGGACUGCGGUAACUACAGCUGCGAGGCCCACAGUGGGGCGUCCAGAAGACAGGCCCACAUUCAGCUUUCUGUUUCAGUUUUGGGGCCAAAUCUAACAUACAGAGAGUCUCUAUUACGAGACAUUAUAAAACUGUGUCCUGCCAGUACCAAAACGUCCAGUGAUUCACCUUCACAGAGUGGAAUAAUGGAAUAUAUGCUUGCAAACCCAACCAUCUUUGGCAUCACGGUUGUCUCUGCAGCCACUGCUUCUAUCUUCACUGUUGCAUUUUUCAUAAUGAAACUCCGAAAGAGGCAGAGGAGUACAGGAAACAGCAACACCAUCUACCAAGAUAAUCACAUCUAUGAGGAUAUUACAGACAUACAGUUUCGACUCACGACGCCGGAGGCACCAUCGUUGCUGUGCGUCUACAAAGACUAUAUACCCAAUCAACAGCAAAGUGAAACCAUCUACUCCUGCGCUGGCCCACCCUCGACUGAGAUGGCAGAUCCAAGGAAGGCGUCUACACAGACUGAUCUUCAGAAGUAUGACAAACCCAGAGUCCAGGACCGCAGUGACCGAUGAGUCCAGUGAGAUCACGUGCUCAUCGGACUUGCAGCGAAUAAAAGUUGCUUGAACACAUGAGCCCGAACA
rnacentral:lncRNA from 1 species